rnacentral:sRNA from 1 species
GUAACUUGAGAUACUAAAUAAAAAACUCUGAUUGUCAAAUAACCAUUAAGGUUGUUUGAGUCAGGACACCCACCGAAUAGGUAGCUAGUUCCUGGCUCUGUCGUCAGUAGUUAAACAAGUAUACAGGGUGAAGCUAGUGUUUCUGAGGUAACCAGAUAAAAUAACAUUUUCUGAAAGCUAACAUUGCCCCAUAAGUGGG